AACACGUGUAGCAAUCUGCCGGGAAGUGGGGGAUAACUCGCCGAAAGGCGAAUUAACUACCGCAUAUGGCCAGGGAAGACAUCUUCCCGAAGCCAAAGUCGCAAGACGCUUCCUGAUGAGCUCGCGGCCUAUCAGCUAGUUGGUGAGGUAACGGCUCACCAAGGCUAUGACGGGUAGCUGGUCUGAGAGGACGACCAGCCACACUGGAACUGAGACACGGUCCAGACACCUACGGGUGG
rnacentral:rRNA from 1 species